rnacentral:tRNA from 1 species
AAUAAAAUGGCUGAGUUAAGCGAUAAAUUGUAAAUUUAUUUACGAGAUAAUAUUCUCUUUUAUU